UCCCAACUCUGUCCACAGCAGCCUUUGAUGGGGGACACACGAAGACUGUGACAGCAAUGGUGCAGGCCUGGCCCUUUCCCUGCCUCCGUCUGGGACCGUUAAGAGAUCAGUCAAGAACUCAAGACCUCUUGGAAGCCGUCCUGGAUGGGCUGGAAUUGGUUCCUCCUAAGGCUGUUUGGCCCAGGAGAUCAAAGCUGAAGGUGCUGGAUUUUACCCAUGACGUUGAGCACUCCAACUGGGAGGAGUGCUCGGAGGCUACUCCUGCACCCUUUGUCAUCACUCACAUGCUAGAAGAGCCGGAGGCGGACAAGCUGACACCCAGUUACAAAGAACAGCCUUAGCAUCACCGAGAACCCGAGGAAAUACACAGAGACCUUUUCCUAGGUGGUUUGUUCGGCUUCUUCCACCUGUCUGGGUUCCCCUCGUACAUACUCCAGAGAGUCGAGAAGAACCAUGGCGGUCUGCGCCUCCACUGUCAGACACUGGUCAUUGUCCAAGUGCCAUUCCUCAGCCUUGUCGAGAUCCUGGGGAUGCUGGAGCUGGAGACCAUCCGGGAGCUGAGGCUUCAUUACAGGAGUACGUUCUGCUCCCGUUCUGACCUAAUCCAGUUUUUUACCCGCGCAAGGGUAAAUGAGCAACCUGGGCAACCUCAUCAUGAACGACAUCCCCUGGGAUUUCCCUGCAGACUGUUUCUUUUUGCUGAGUCCACUGGGCCGCCUCUAGAAGCUCCAUCUCAUCUUUGGCUGUCUCUCGGGCCAGCUGCAUAAGAUGCUGAGUGAGUGUGCGACAAGUCCCUCUGAAGGGCCAGGGGCCAGGAUCCCUGGAGUCGUCCCUGAACCCCGCUGCGUCGGAGCAGAGACAAGCCUGGAUUUCCAAUCCUGUGAGGCCGCAGAGUCACUGAGGACACAGACUGCAAGGCUGAGGUCUUGGACCAGCCAGUGGCUGUCGAUUGCUAUAGAAGAGAAAGAUGCAGGUCUGAAAUUGGCCUGUCAUUCACUCUUUCAUUCAUUUUCACGCACUCAGUCCGUGCCAAGCAGACAGCUAAGAAUGGAUAUGAAACUCUGACCAAACUCAGGGUCUCGUCUUCCUAGAGCUUAUGUAGAGAAAGUGAACCAGGAUGGUAGGUUGUCAGGGUGGUGUUUGAGGGAGGGAACUGCCCCCUCACCAAUGUCUAAGCUCAGCUGAUUUGAUGAACUCCUUCCUCUCUUUUGUGUCUCACAGACUUCUCUGUAGCCUGCCCCCCCCACCCCCCCGAAUACAGAGCUGUUCUCCUGGGGCCUGGUCUUUGAGUAAAUAGAAGCAUGGGGAACCAUCUUCCCAAAUUCUCCAGCCAGUAAAACCUAUGCUUUACCAUGUGUAGGAGCUAUAGUUAAAUUUCAUUAAUUCAGCCACACUUUGUGGAGCAUGUGCGAUAAUUGUGUUGAUGGGGCUUAUUAGGAAGCUAAGGCUGAGAGGUGCCUGACUCCAUAGUCUGCAAACAGAGAGGUCCCAUGGCCAGCGGGGAUGGGUUUCACUCCACACUCUGUGGUCUUAACCACUACAGAAGCCUGGCUCCCACCAUGUGCAUCCAGACUCGGGUAGGCAUUGUGCCAAUUUCUCAGGCCAGAUUUCUGGAUCUUUCCCAAAUGUAUCUAGUGGGACACUCGAGUUUCCAAGAAGUGACUGUGUCUGUCUGUCCACAAUGGCCUGCAAAACCACUGGAGACGCUGGUGAUCAAUGGAUGCAGGCUCAUUGAGAAUGACAUCACCUACUUGUCCCAGAGCAUUCGUGCCACCCGCCUGAAGGAGUUGGUUCUCUGUGGCAAUAACCUGUCCCACACGGUUCCUGGGCCCCUCCAGGUUCUGCUGGGGGAGGUGUCUGGCACUCUACAGCACCUGAACUUGUGCAGCUGCCGGCUGAAGGAAGCCCAGCUCCGAACCCUGCUUGCCUGCUCUGUGCUGCUGCUCGAGCCUCCCCUCGCUCGUGUUCUACGACAAUGUCAUCUCCACAUCGGGCAUCACGAACGUGCUUCAACAGUUAGGAGGGUUGAAGGAGCUGAAGCGUGUGCAGUCCCCUGUUCCUGCUGAAUGUGUUGUAUACUUGGAUGAAUACAGGUGGGGGAAGCUCAACAGAGUGGAACUUGCCCGGGUGCACGCCAAGUUGCAGGAAAUGUUGCAACCACCCCAGCGGGCCGACAUGGAGUCAACUAAUUCUACCUCAGUGGCCUGACAAUGAAAACGCACAGCUGACCUGAUGGGGAAGAGGAGCAGCAUCUGUCCUGGAGCUGUGGUUGUGGAUUUCCCGGAUGGUGUGGCUUCAAGGAAAACUAUCAAAACAAGAAAACACAACCAACGCUCCAGUGGGGACUGCUGUUUCUGGAUCCAGCUGGGGCUCAAUUCUUCAUGAAAUCGACAAGCACUGGUCAAACAUGGACACUGUGCAAGUGUUCUGAUGCUGCGUAUAAAAGGACAACUUCGCCUGACACUGGUACUUCUAGUCUGUUUACCCAGUUUCCCUUUCAUUAUGCUUCAGUAUUCCCACUUUGAACAACACGCAGUUGGGUGAGUUAAUUCUCAAAACAUUAGUUUAUAAAGUGAGGUCAAUGAAAUGUUCAUCAAAGGAAUAGGUGAACGUGAUACGAUCAACACGGAGCGUUCAUUCAACUAUUUAUUCAAAUAUUUGUUGACUUCCUGUUUUGUUCAGAAACUGCUCUCACCGGGAAGACGGUGUAAACAUUCGGGGUGUCUGCUCUCCAAGAACUUAGCUUUGAAAGAGGAUGGGGCCCACUAAACCAAGUCAGCAGACCCGUAAGAAAGCUGGUUUCAAAGGAGCGCUGUAAGAAUGACAGAAGGAAUACCAGUCUGAUGAGGGCUUAUUGGAGUUAGGAGCACUAUGAGAUGAUUGAGAAUAUGCAUCAGUCUCUGCCCUCAGUUGCUGGCACAGAGCUCCUGAAACCUUGUCAUUUCCUAAGUAAUAACACUAGGAACAUCCUCUGUUCCAGCAUUUGGUCUUUGACCCCCAUCCCUGACAGAGGGCUUUUGUUCUUUUAAGAUUUUAUUUAUUCAUGAGAGAGACAGAGAGAGAGAGAGAGAGGGGCAGAGACACAGGCAGAGAGAGAAGUAGGCUUCCGCCCAGGGAGCCCGAUGUGGGACUGGAUCCUGGGACACUAGGACCACGCCCUGGGCCAAAGGCAGGGUAACCCACUGAGCCACCCAGGAGUCCCCAGAGGGCUCUUGAAAGCUUUAUAAAUUCCCAAGUGAUAAGGGUGCUAGGAUCAUCUUUUGUUCUAAUGAGGUGGCUCAGGCUGUGCUCUCAGAUGACUCCCAGAUGGGACUGGUCCCCAGAAAGAUGAGGCCAUGAUUACGAGCUUGGAAUUUUAGGCCCCAUCCCUCAUCUUCCAGAGCAGGGAAGAGGGGCUGGAAAUGGAAUGAUUGAUCAUGCCUAUGUGAGGAAACCUUCCUAAAACCCCAGUCAUAGGGGAUUUGGAGAGCUUCCACCUAGAUGUACCCCAACACCACAAGGACAGAAACUCCUGCACGUCCUCCCCCCGCCAGGACUUCACCCUGUGGAAAAAUCGCCUCACGCCUAAAGUGUCAGAAGUCACUUGUGUGAAGAGUAACGGAGACACAGGAGAGACUCCCAGCAGGGAAGCCCCAGGUUUUUCCCUUUGAAGGAGGUAGACAGAACUGGGGUUUUCCUUUAUAGCCCCUAUUCUUUUUGAGGGGGGUUGUGGUGGGGAAGAUCAGGGAAUUGAGGCUUCUGUGUGAACCUUCUGAUGACUCAUAGGUGAGUGUUGAGAAGCACCCAGAUAUGAGGAGAGCUGGGGACACCCCUCCCAGGCGGAGAAAUGAGAGAGACGGUGAGAAGGAGUCAAGGAGAUGGAGGCUUCACUUUGAGUAGUAUGGAUAGGUUAACAGUAUUUUUCCAAUCCAGGAACUUGGAAUGUCUUUCCAUUUAUUUGGGUCUUUGAAAAUUUCCUUCAUCAGUGUUUAUAAUUUUCAGCAUACGAGUCUUGCACCUCUUUUGGUUCCUAAGUAUUUUAUUCUUGCUGUUGUUAUGGUAGAUGGAAUUGUUUUCUUAAUUUCUUUUUUAGGUAUUUCAUUGUUAGUCUUUCGAAAUGUCUCCAAUUUUUAUACGUUGAUUUUAUAUUGUGUAAGUUUACUGAAUUUUAGUAGGUUUUUGUGGAAAGUCUUUACACUUUCCUACAUAUAUGAUCUUUCCACCUGUGAAUAGAUAAUUUUACUUUUUUCUUUAUGACUUCUAUACCUUGUGUUUCUGUGUCUUGCCUGAUUGCUCAGGCUAGGACUUCCAGAACAGUGUUGAGUAGCAGUAGUGAGAGUGGAGAUCGUUGCCUUGUUCUUUCAGGUUUAACGCACUGGUUAUAUUAGCUGUAGAGUUUUCAUAGAUGGGCUUUAUUGUGUUGAGGUUUUAGAAGUUUUACUGAACAUGAGUUGGUGUUGAAGUUUGUCACAUGUUCUGCGUCUGUUGAAAUGAUGAUGAUGUAAUAUUUGUGUCUCAUUGUUUGUAUUGUGUCUCACAUUGAUUUGCAUUGAUUUUGCAUGUGUGAGGCCAACUUUGAAUCCCAAGGAUAAAUCCCACUUGGUCAGGGUAUAGGACUCUCUUGAUGUGCUGUUGAAUUUAGUUUGUUAGUACAGUUGACCCUUGAGAACAGCAUGGUGGAUACGGAUGCCAACAGUGAGAAAUCUGUAUAUAACUUUUGUCUUCCCCCAAAACGUAAGUACUAAUGGCAUACUAUUGUGAGAAGCCUUACCGACAGGAAUAACACAUAUUUUAUGUUAUAUGUAUGAUAUACUGUAUUUAUAUAGUAAAGUAAACUAGAGAAAAGGAAAUAUUUAAAAAAUCACAAAGAAGAGAAAAUAGGGGUGCUUGGGUGGCUCCUUCAGUUAAGAGUUCAACUCUUGAUGUCGGCUCAGGUCUCAAUCUCAGGGUCAUGAGUUCAGGCCCUGCAUUGGGCUCCACGCCCAAUGGAGUCUACCUUCAAGGGUGUGGGGGCACCUGGAUGAUUCAGUUAAGCAUCUGACUCUUGAUUUCAACGUAGACCAUACAUGAUCUCAGGGUCAUGAAUUCAAGCCC